ACGAACGCUGGCGGCAGGCCUAACACAUGCCAGUCGCGCGCGCCCUUCGGGGUGAGCGGCGGACGGGUGAGUAACGCGUGGGAACGUGCCCUUUUCUACGGAAUAGCCUCGGGAAACUGAGAGUAAUACCGUAUACGCCCUUUGGGGGAAAGAUUUAUCGGAAAAGGAUCGGCCCGCGUUGGAUUAGGUAGUUGGUGGGGUAAUGGCCUACCAAGCCGACGAUCCAUAGCUGGUUUGAGAGGAUGAUCAGCCACACUGGGACUGAGACACGGCCCAGACUCCUACGGGAGGCAGCAGUGGGGAAUCUUAGACAAUGGGGGCAACCCUGAUCUAGCCAUGCCGCGUGAGUGAUGAAGGCCUUAGGGUUGUAAAGCUCUUUCAGCUGGGAAGAUAAUGACGGUACCAGCAGAAGAAGCCCCGGCUAACUCCGUG
rnacentral:rRNA from 1 species